AAUAUGUGUUCGCUGUGCGCGAUUGACAGCAGCAUGGAGAAAAGAAAUAAACUCCCUGGACAGCAGAAUGUCGAGCGUGCGCCCGUGCGUGGCCGUCCGACUUUGCGUUUACGACUCUGCUUGCGUGAAAGUGAAACUGUUCGCGCGAGCGGCUGUGUGAUAACGAUUGAGGCCCACCACUCCCUCUUGUUCGCAGUGGUCACCACAUGGGUGGGAAAAGCCAGCAUACUUUUGCCUGUAAUUUUUGCGAGUACCGUACGCCAAAGUGGGCUGUCAUGCUGAACCAUCGGCGCACACACACAGGGGAGCGACCGUUUACCUGCCACCUAUGCCCCGGACGGUUUACUCAGAAGGCCUGCCUGAUGCGCCAUGUGCGCACACAUACAGGAGAGAAGCCUUACAAGUGCCGUAUCUGUGGUCUUGCCUUCUUCAGAGGCUACACACGAGACAGACAUGAGUACAGCCAUCUAAGUGCAUGAUUUGAUGAGUACUUGUGGAUGACGCAAUGCCAAGAAAAAGUGUAAAAAAGGCAAGUCAGUGGCAUUUAAAUCUUAAAGAUGCAUUGCAUGAAGAAGAAGAAUGCAUUUUCAGUCUUUGUGAAUGCAGCUGCAUAAACUCAAAAGGGUGGGGUGGGGAUAGGUAGGGGGAAGGGGGAAUAGUUUACAGACAACACAACACCAAGUAGGAGAGCAGCAUACGAAUUACAAGUGAUUCCAAAGAUGCACCUUUUUGAUACUUGAACUGUAUUUACUGUGUUCAUGGGUGUCGCCUUUAGAUUCUUAAAAGAUUAUUCACUGUGACAGCACUGUAUAAUUUGGCAUGUGUUUAUGGCUGGUAGAAAACCAGAGUGCAGAAGCUAAAUAAAGAUAGUGUUUUUUGGAAA
rnacentral:lncRNA from 1 species